UCUCUGGUGGCCCAGACAGUAAAGCGUCUGCCUGUAAUGCAGGAGACCCAGGUUCUAUCCCUGGGUUGGGAA
rnacentral:tRNA from 1 species